rnacentral:tRNA from 1 species
GGUCGCGUGGCCGAGCGGUUAGGCAGAGGUCUGCAAAACCUUGUACACCAGUUCGAAUCUGGUCGCGACCU